rnacentral:lncRNA from 1 species
UGUUUCUAGGCACUGUUUGCCUCAUUUGGGGGCUCCUGGGGUCCAGCUCACGAUGGGGAACCAAACCCAAGCUGUUGCUUUGGGGCAGGAUGUGCGGAUGUUACUGCAUCUGGGGGCCAAAGUGCUUUAAACAUCGACCCCACCAACAAUAAGGAUGAUGAAAAUAAUAAUAAUGUGGGGCAGCUGAUAUUUCUUGGGCACCAAGUAUGUGUCAGGUACUGUGUAUUUAAUCCCCAUUAUCUUACUUAAUCUUCAGAGCAGACCCUAUAAGGUAAGUGCUAUUAUUAUUCCCCUUUGGCAGAGGGAGAACCCGAAGCUCAGAGAGGUUAAUUGACUUGCCUAAGGUGACAGAGCUGGAAGGGGACGGAGGCAGGACUCAGCUUAAGUUCUGAUUUCAAAGCCUUGGACUUAAUUGCUCCUCUCUGUUAUUACGGAACCGUGCAGCUAACUUGCUGCAAAGCACAUUCGUAGGCUGAGAAAUACCCUUUAAAAUACUUUUACAAAAAUAAACAAAUAAAAUACUUUUACAGUUUUGCAACGAGUGAAUAUUUGGCUCUGCUGCUUCUCUCUCCCUCUUUUCAAAACGGACUGAAAACAGGGAAUCCCUGGGUGGCUCAGAGGUUGAGCGUCUGCCUUCAGCCCAGGGAGUGAUCCCGGGUCCGAGAUCAAGUCCCGCAUCGGGCUCCCUGCAUGAAGCCUGCAUCUCCCUUUGCCUGCAUCUCCCUUUGCCUGUGUCUCUGCCUCUCUCUCUGUGUCUUUCAUAAAUAAAUAAAAUCUGAAAAAAAAAAAAAAAAAAACCCAGACUGAAAAACAGAAACCAAAACACUCUGUCACUUUCCAGUGGGUCAGCGAGAUCAGAGGAAGAAACCUCCGCGUUCCACUGCUGGCUUAUGUAAAGGUGAGGUUACCUUAGAAUUAUUUGCCUUAAAGAAAAAGAUCCAUCAAUGUAACUAAUAUUCGGUGCACUUACUGAGAAGCCAUCUGGAGCGGCUUCCUUUUGCCCCUGUACCCUCUCCCCAUGCUCCAGAGUCCAGCUGGAGCCAGCCAGGUCUGUCCUCCCUUGGUGCCCCUGGGUCCUUGCCUUUCACCUCCCAUGAGGGUGCAGAGGGCCACCUAGGGAGAAAGCUCUGCACAGGCCAGUCGGCAAAGUUGGCCCAGAGCCAUGGAGAGUGAGAAACUUUCAAAUUUCAAAACUGCCCUGGGCCAAUUUAAUAAAUUUCUGCCACUUCCGUUCUCUCCACAUUUUUGAAUUCUCAAAAAUUCACUCCCAUCUAAGAUGCGUACAGAGUGGAAGGAUUUGGGAAUGUUAAUAAUGCAGAGUUCUACAGCACAGCAAGGUGAAUUCUCAAGGAGUAGCAGUUACCGUCUGCUUUCUCCCUGCCAGGUAAC